UACGUAGGGGGCUAGCGUUGUCCGGAAUCAUUGGGCGUAAAGCGCGUGUAGGCGGCUUGGUAAGUCCGGUGUGAAACCUUGGGGCUCAACCCCAAGCCUGCACUGGAUACUGCCUCGCUUGAGUCCGGGAGGGGAGAGCGGAAUUCCUAGUGUAGCGGUGAAAUGCGCAGAUAUUAGGAAGAACACCGGUGGCGAAGGCGGCUCUCUGGAACGGUACUGACGCUGAGACGCGAAAGCGUGGGGAGCGAACAGG
rnacentral:rRNA from 1 species